UGGCGGACGGGUGAGUAACGCGUGGGUAACCUGCCCUGUACAGGGGGAUAACAGCUGGAAACGGCUGCUAAUACCGCAUAAGCGCACAGGACCGCAUGGUCCGGUGUGAAAAACUCCGGUGGUGUGAGAUGGACCCGCGUUUGAUUAGCUAGUUGGCAGGGUAACGGCCUACCAAGGCAACGAUCAGUAGCCGGUCUGAGAGGAUGAACGGCCACAUUGGAACUGAGACACGGUCCAAACUCCUACGGGAGGCAGCAUG
rnacentral:rRNA from 1 species